UGGGAAACUGCCUGAUGGAGGGGGAUAACUACUGGUAAACGGUAGCUAAUACCGCAUAACGUCUACGGACCAAAGUGGGGGACCUUCGGGCCUCAUGCCAUCAGAUGUGCCCAGAUGGGAUUAGCUAGUAGGUGGGGUAAUGGCUCACCUAGGCGACGAUCCCUAGCUGGUCUGAGAGGAUGACCAGCCACACUGGAACUGAGACACGGUCCAGACUCCUACGGGAGGCAGCAGUGGGGAAUAUUGCACAAUGGGCGCAAGCCUGAUGCAGCCAUGCCGCGUGUGUGAAGAAGGCCUUCGGGUUGUAAAGCACUUUCAGCGAGGAGGAAGGGUUCAGUGUUAAUAGCACUGUGCAUUGACGUUACUCGCAGAAGAAGCACCGGCUAACUCCGUGCCAGCAGCCGCGGUAAUACGGAGGGUGCAAGCGUUAAUCGGAAUUACUGGGCGUAAAGCGCACGCAGGCGGUUUGUUAAGUCAGAUGUGAAAUCCCCGCGCUUAACGUGGGAACUGCAUUUGAAACUGGCAAGCUAGAGUCUUGUAGAGGGGGGUAGAAUUCCAGGUGUAGCGGUGAAAUGCGUAGAGAUCUGGAGGAAUACCGGUGGCGAAGGCGGCCCCCUGGACAAAGACUGACGCUCAGGUGCGAAAGCGUGGGGAGCAAACAGGAUUAGAUAUCCCUGGUAGUACCACGCUGUAAACGAUGUCGACUUGGAGGUUGUGCCCUUGAGGCGUGGCUUCCGGAGCUAACGCGUUAAGUCGACCGCCUGGGGAGUACGGCCGCAAGGUUAAAACUCAAAUGAAUUGACGGGGGCCCGCACAAGCGGUGGAGCAUGUGGUUUAAUUCGAUGCAACGCGAAGAACCUUACCUACUCUUGACAUCCAGAGAAUUCGCUAGAGAUAGCUUAGUGCCUUCGGGAACUCUGAGACAGGUGCUGCAUGGCUGUCGUCAGCUCGUGUUGUGAAAUGUUGGGUUAAGUCCCGCAACGAGCGCAACCCUUAUCCUUUGUUGCCAGCACGUAAUGGUGGGAACUCAAAGGAGACUGCCGGUGAUAAACCGGAGGAAGGUGGGGAUGACGUCAAGUCAUCAUGGCCCUUACGAGUAGGGCUACACACGUGCUACAAUGGCGUAUACAAAGAGAAGCGAACUCGCGAGAGCAAGCGGACCUCAUAAAGUACGUCGUAGUCCGGAUCGGAGUCUGCAACUCGACUCCGUGAAGUCGGAAUCGCUAGUAAUCGUAGAUCAGAAUGCUACGGUGAAUACGUUCCCGGGCCUUGUACACACCGCCCGUCACACCAUGGGAGGUGGGUUGCAAAAGAAGUAGGUA
rnacentral:rRNA from 1 species